rnacentral:misc_RNA from 1 species
GAUGAAGAACGUAGCGAAAUGCGAUAAGUAAUGUGAAUUGCAGAAUUCAGUGAAUCAUCGAAUCUUUGAACGCACAUUGCGCCCGCCGGUAUUCCGGCGGGCAUGCCUGUUCGAGCGUCAUUUCAACCAUCAAGCCCUGGGCUUGUGUUGGGGACCUGCGGCUGCCGCAGGCCCUGAAAUGCAGUGGCGGGCUCGCAAGACACACCGAGCGUAGUAGCUUACAACCUCGCUUUGGGAGUGCUGCGGGUGCUGGCCGUAAAGCGACCUUUGCGUCUUUAGCACUAGGUUGAACUCGGAUCAGGUAGGAGGACCCGCUGAACUUAAGCAUAUCAAUAAGCGGAGGA